rnacentral:rRNA from 1 species
AUUGAACGCUGGCGGCAGGCCUAAUACAUGCAAGUCGAACGGUAACAGGAAGACGCUCGCUUCUUUGUUGAUGAGUGGCGGACGGGUGAGUCAUGUGUGAGCAACUGCCUGACGGAGGGGGACAAUUACUGGAAACGGUAGCUAAUACCGAAUAACGUCGCAAGCAUAACGUGGGGGUCAUUGGGGCAUUUUGCCAUCGGCCGUGUCCAGAUGGGUUUUAUUAGUGGGUGGGGUAACGGCUGACCUAGCAGACGAACCCUACCUGGUCUGCGAGGAGGACCGGCCACACUGGAACUGGAACACGGCCCGAGCUCCUACGGGGGCCAGCGUAGGGGAAUAUUGCACAAGGGGGGCAAGCCUGAUGCAGCCAUGCGGCGUGGAUGAGGAGGGCCUUCGGGUUGUAAAGUACUUUCAGCGGGGAGGAAGGGAGUAAAGGUAAUACCUUUACUCAUUGACGUUACCCGCAGAAGAAGCGCCGGCUAACUCCGUG